rnacentral:rRNA from 1 species
GGGAUCCGAUUUUAGCAUGGAAUAAUAAAAUAGGACGUGUGGUUCUAUUUUGUUGGUUUCUAGGACCGAAGUAAUGAUUAAUAGGGAUAGUCGGGGGCGUCAGUAUUCAGCUGUCAGAGGUGAAAUUCUUGGAUUUGCUGAAGACUAACUACUGCGAAAGCAUUCGCCAAGGAUGUUUUCAUUAAUCAGGGAACGAAAGUUAGGGGAUCGAAGACGAUCAGAUACCGUCGUAGUCUUAACCAUAAACUAUGCCGACUAGGGAUCAGGCAAGGAUAUUUUGACUUGCUUGGCACCUUAUGAGAAAUCAAAGUUUUUGGGUUCCGGGGGGAGUAUGGUCGCAAGGCUGAAACUUAAAGGAAUUGACGGAAGGGCACCACCAGGAGUGGAGCCUGCGGCUUAAUUUGACUCAACACGGGGAAACUCACCAGGUCCAGAAAUCUAGA